UCCAUAUUGAAAUGAUAACCUUAAUCUGUACUCCUCUUUGAUCAGUCUGGAAAUCUCUAGAGAGAAGGACUACUUUCAGCAGUGGACACCUGAUGAACAUAAUUUUUCUAACACCUCGGAGUCCGGAAUUCGUCGUCCGAUAUGGCGAUAGGUACAAAUCCUACCACAUCAUAGGACGGAAUACACACGGCGGGAGGUGGGUGCAUCAGUUGUGUUUCUGCCUACUACUUCGGGGAUAAAAGGCUUUCAGAGAUUACUCCUACAUAGAAACUUUGGAAUUGCCUCUACGGGAUCUACGCACUAAAGCUAGACGAUGACGAAGUAGACGAUGCGACGUGACGAAGCUAUUGUUUCU
rnacentral:lncRNA from 1 species